rnacentral:rRNA from 1 species
UACGUAGGGGGCUAGCGUUGUCCGGAAUCAUUGGGCGUAAAGCGCGUGUAGGCGGCCCGGUAAGUCCGCUGUGAAAGUCGGGGGCUCAACCCUCGAAAGCCGGUGGAUACUGUCGGGCUCGAGUACGGGAGAGGCGAGUGGAAUUCCUGGUGUAGCGGUGAAAUGCGCAGAUAUCAGGAGGAACACCGAUUGCGAAGGCAGCUCGCUGGAACGUUACUGACGCUGAGACGCGAAAGCGUGGGGAGCAAACAGG